GUCUAAGGCCAUGCCACCCUGAACAAGUCCGAUCUCGUCUGAUCUUGGAAGCUAAGCAGGGUCAGGCUUGGUUCGUACUUGGAUGGGAGACCACCUAGGAAGACCAGAUGCUGUAGGCG
rnacentral:rRNA from 1 species